rnacentral:rRNA from 1 species
AGUGAACGCUGGCGGCAGGCCUAACACAUGCAAGUCGAGCGGCAGCGGGUCCUUCGGGAUGCCGGCGAGCGGCGGACGGGUGAGGAAUACAUCGGAAUCUGCCCUGUCGUGGGGGAUAACCUAGGGAAACUUAGGCUAAUACCGCAUACGACCUACGGGUGAAAGCGGGGGAUCGCAAGAACUCGCGCGACAGGAUGAGCCGAUGUCCGAUUAGCUAGUUGGCGGGGUAAAGGCCCACCAAGGCGACGAUCGGUAGCUGGUCUGAGAGGAUGAUCAGCCACACUGGGACUGAGACACGGCCCAGACUCCUACGGGAGGCAGCAGUGGGGAAUAUUGGACAAUGGGCGCAAGCCUGAUCCAGCCAUGCCGCGUGGGUGAAGAAGGCCUUCGGGUUGUAAAGCCCUUUUGUCCGGGAAGAAAUCGUCUGGGCUAAUACCCCGGGCGGAUGACGGUACCGGAAGAAUAAGCACCGGCUAACUUCGUG